UUUGUGUUGGUUUCAAAUUAAUUUACAAACAGUUUUCUAAAAGCAAACAAAGGAGAAAAACCCCAAAAUCUAACCUACCUUCCCGGGCUUCCCCUCUCUCUGUUUUCCCUCUGGCCCGAACCAACCCCAGUCCACCUCCCUUCCUUCUGGCCCAUCUUUUCUCUCCACCGCAGGCCCAAGCAGCUCGGCACCCAUCUUGGCCCGUACCCCUUCGGCCCUCCCCCACCUUCUUUUUCCUCGUCCUCGCUGGAAAGCGACCGAGCACGCAUGGCGCGUGAGGCCGUGGUCCUCACCACCGCACCGACGCCACCACCUGCUCCCUCCCCUCUCCUUAUCUCUUCCAGGACCACCGCACCUCACUUUCCUCCUCCCCCAAGUUUCCUCUCCUCCCCUUCUUCUUCCUCUGCAAGCAAACGGGAGAACCCCCCCACGGCAACCACCUCUCCGCCUUGGCGCCGCUGCUCCGGCCACCCCCUUCCCCGUCCGAGCACACCACCAGAUGCAUCUCGAUCUCCUCUACCACCUCCUGCAAGGAAUCGAGCCGCGGAGCCCUGCACGCGACGCCAUCGUCUCCGAAGUCUGCCACGGCUACCGGCGAAAAUCUUCAAUUCCGACGACCACCCUCCUCCUCUGCUCUCGCCGUCGACGCCUUGAGCUCCAGGGACCUCGUCGCCGGUCGCCUUCCGGUGAUCCCCAAGACGGCGCGCCACCACCUUCAGGUUCGCCUUGGCGAGACGCGCCGAACGCCUCCACUCGCGCUUCCGGGUACCCCCUGCAACGCCCGCCCGUGCGACGCCGCCCCGCGGUGACCGCGCCUCCCUGGAACGCUGCCGGCAUCGAGCAGUUGAUGUGCAGCCGCUCAAGAUCUGCCACGCUGGCGCCAGCUCAGCACCGCGGGCCCCUCCUGUCAGCGACCUGGGCUAACCCCCCUCCGCAUUUGCUUCUUCCCGGAUAGGAUCGCGAAGUGGUGUGGUGAGAUACGACAAGUUCUCCCGAUGUCCCUCGGCAAGCUUUAACAGGCAAG